rnacentral:rRNA from 1 species
UGCAGUCGAGCGGCAGCACGGGUACUUGUACCUGGUGGCGAGCGGCGGACGGGUGAGUAAUGCCUAGGAAUCUGCCUGGUAGUGGGGGAUAACGCUCGGAAACGGACGCUAAUACCGCAUACGUCCUACGGGAGAAAGCAGGGGACCUUCGGGCCUUGCGCUAUCAGAUGAGCCUAGGUCGGAUUAGCUAGUUGGUGAGGUAAUGGCUCACCAAGGCGACGAUCCGUAACUGGUCUGAGAGGAUGAUCAGUCACACUGGAACUGAGACACGGUCCAGACUCCUACGGGAGGCAGCAGUGGGGAAUAUUGGACAAUGGGCGAAAGCCUGAUCCAGCCAUGCCGCGUGUGUGAAGAAGGUCUUCGGAUUGUAAAGCACUUUAAGUUGGGAGGAAGGGCAUUUACCUAAUACGUGAUUGUUUUGACGUUACCGACAGAAUAAGCACCGGCUAACUCUGUGCCAGCAGCCGCGGUAAUACAGAGGGUGCAAGCGUUAAUCGGAAUUACUGGGCGUAAAGCGCGCGUAGGUGGUUUGUU